AGGGAGUCAGGUGGAACCUGUUGACUGGAAGAACAAGCUUGUCUGGCCCAAGACCUGACACCUGCAGAGCAGGGAGAAGAGCCAGCAGCCAGGCCAGCAGCCAUGCAGAGGGGACUGGGGGCUCUGCUGGGGCUUCUGUGGGUGCAACUUUGCUGGGUGAGAGGGCAGCAGGUGGAGCAGAGUCCUUCAGCCCUGAGGCUCCAGGAGGGAGCCAGCCCUACUCUGAGGUGCAAUUUUUCCACCACCAUGAGAAGUGUGCAGUGGUUCCGACAGAAUCCUGGGGGCAGCCUCAUCAGUCUGUUUUUACUGACUCCAGGGACAAAGCAGGAGGGAAGGUUAAAGGCAACAAUGAAUUUUCAGGAGCGCUACAGCACCCUGAACAUCUCCACCUCCCAGAUGGAAGACUCAGGCACCUACUUCUGUGCAGCAGAGGCACAGUGUUCCCAGAGGAACUGCAGCCUGUCUGCAAACUGCAGCUGCACCUGCAGCCACUGCCUGUGCCUCAGGGAGGACUUGCACAGCAGCCUCUGCACAGCUAUGGGUGUCCUGAUUCAUGUCAUAGCACUGUCACCUAUGGUAAUGUGAGAAUUCUCAGUACUGUCAUUCUAUUUGGGUGGGACUCUUCCACACAGAAACCCUUUGCACAAAAAAUUUCUAAUAAAAAAGCAUUGGAGCAACUGAUAAGGAUGUCAGGGACCCAGAUACUGUUAAAACAGGUCCCCUUUUCCCCUACAUCCUCGCCAGUACUUAUUGUUGCUUGAAUUCUUGAUAAUUGACAUUCUGACUGGAGUGAAAUGAAAUCUUAGAGAAGUUUUAAUUUGCAUUUCUCUAAUUGCUAAAAAUAUUGAACAUUUUUUUCAUGUUUGUUGAUUAAUUAUAUUCCUUCUUCCGU